AUUGAACGCUGGCGGCAUGCCUUACACAUGCAAGUCGAACGGUAACGGGCCUUCGGGUGCCGACGAGUGGCGAACGGGUGAGUAAUGCAUCGGAACGUACCUUUCAGUGGGGGAUAACGUAGCGAAAGUUAUGCUAAUACCGCAUAUUCUGUGAGCAGGAAAGCAGGGGAUCGCAAGACCUUGCGCUGAUUGAGCGGCCGAUGUCAGAUUAGCUAGUUGGUGAGGUAAAAGGCUCGCCAAGGCGACGAUCUGUAGCGGGUCUGAGAGGAUGAUCCGCCACACUGGAACUGAGACACGGUCCAGACUCCUACGGGAGGCAGCAGUGGGGAAUUUUGGACAAUGGGGGCAACCCUGAUCCAGCCAUGCCGCGUGAGUGAAGAAGGCC
rnacentral:rRNA from 1 species